rnacentral:other from 1 species
AGAGCCCUGAGAUGUACGUGGGUUUCCGAAAGUUUUGAGCCAACACCAUUAUAGCGGGAGCUUGCGUCACGGAUGAGCGCAGAUGCCCUAUGGGACCUGUUAACAUUAGUGCAGAGCACCCACCUGCGAGAGCAGGUUCGAAACUGAGGAGGCCACGACAUAUAUGGGGCUCUU